GCCAGGCAUGGUGGUGCAUGCCUGUAGUCCCAGCUACUUGGGAGGCUGAGGCAGAGAAUCACUUGAACCCAGGAGGCAGAGGUUGCAGUGAGCUGAGAUGGUGCCGCUGCACUCCAGCCUGGGUGACAGAGUGAGACUCUGUCUCAA
ensembl:misc_RNA Metazoa_SRP Metazoan signal recognition particle RNA